UUCCGAUGGUGAACCUGCGGAAGGAUCAUU
rnacentral:rRNA from 1 species